UACGUAGGUGGCAAGCGUUGUCCGGAUUUACUGGGUGUAAAGGGCGUGUAGCCGGGCUGACAAGUCAGAUGUGAAAUUCCGGGGCUCAACCCCGGACCUGCAUUUGAAACCGUUGGUCUUGAGUAUCGGAGAGGCAGGCGGAAUUCCUAGUGUAGCGGUGAAAUGCGUAGAUAUUAGGAGGAACACCAGUGGCGAAGGCGGCCUGCUGGACGACAACUGACGGUGAGGCGCGAAAGCGUGGGGAGCAAACAGG
rnacentral:rRNA from 1 species